rnacentral:tRNA from 1 species
GGAGAUGGCUCAGUUGGUAAGGUGCUUGCUUUGUAAGCAUGAAUGUCUGGGUUCAAUCCCCCAGAAUCCCUA